ACUAACAUGUGGCCCCGUGGCCUAAUGGACAAGGCGUCUGACUUCUAAUCAGAAGACUGUGGGUUCGAGUCCCACCGGGGUCAU
rnacentral:tRNA from 1 species